AACACAUGCAAGUCGAACGGCAGCACGUUAUGUAGCAAUACAUAUGGGUGGCGAGUGGCGGACGGGUGAGUUACGCGUGGGAAUCUGCCUUUGAAAGGGGGACAACCCGAGGAAACUCGGGCUAAUACCGCAUAAACUCGAAAGAGAAAAGCUGCCUCACGCCUAGAUUAUUUUUGUGAUUGAAGAAGAGAAUAAUGUAGGUGUGAGGUGGCGGUCAAAGAGGAGCCCGCGUCCGAUUAGCUAGUUGGUGGGGUAAAGGCCUACCAAGGCGAUGAUCGGUAGCUGUUCUGAGAGGAUGAUCAGCCACACUGGAACUGAGACACGGUCCAG
rnacentral:rRNA from 1 species